AAAAUGUAAGAAACAAAUCAUAUUCCUAGCACAUAUACUUUAGCUUCAUCUCUCAAACGAACUUAGCUUCAGUGUCACUAGGUUUCCUCAGGCUUCUGAUCCUCUUACAUAUCAAGUUUCCUUUUUAGAAAGAAGCAGUUAUCCAUCUUGUGGCCAUACUUAUUACAGAACUUACAAUUCCCUUUAUAAAACUUUGUCUUAAAAGGUUU
rnacentral:lncRNA from 1 species